AGUUUUGUUGGUUAGAGCAUCUGACUGUUAAUCAGAGGGUCCUUGGUUCGAGCCCAAGAGGGG
rnacentral:tRNA from 1 species